AGAAAAAGAAAGAAACAGAAAGAAAGGAAGAAAGAAAAGAAGCUUCCAAUUGUUUCUUUUCUUGUUUCUUGCAUGCUUAGUCUGCCCUGGGGGAAUAGUGCAAGCGUAUAAUACAGUAUUAUUGCAUUAAAAAAGGGGGCUGGGGGAGGGGGCUGGGGUGAUGAUGGGAAGAGGCUCAGGGAUAAACCAGCUGUGGCUCAGGACCUCUUGGGAGAUUCAUGUCUCCUGUGCCCCCCACCCCCAGUCCACCUCCUGGCCGAGAAGGAGCCUCCUGGCCAGCAGGUGUCUGCUGAGUAAGGGUGGGGGGAGGGAGAGGAAGAAGGGUGCUUAUGGCCUCAGAGAAAACUGGGCUGAGCCCCCGAAGCUGAGCUGCCCAAACAACACCCUCUCCCAAAUGAUAGAUGGGAAUGAGGAUGAGGAUGAAGGGACGUGGGGCAGCCCCUCUUCUUGCUCAAUACUGUCAGAUCGAAGGAGCCCCAAGCCCUGUCUCUCUCCCUCCUCCUCCAACCCCUCAAAAUGGGGAGGGAGGGAGGGGGUCAGUGGUGGAGCAAGUGCAAAGGAAGCAGAUGUUGGUCCCUGAGUUUAUUUUAUGGGGAGGAGUGGAAGGUUAGGGGAACCCCCCAGUGGCCUCCAUGGGGAGGGGGAAUAGGAGACAAGAUGGGGAUUCUGGAACAGUGGGCAUGGCCAGUGGGGGCCAGGACUGCUCGGAGAGACCCGGGCUCUGAGCUUUGUUCUCCCUCACUCUAGGCUCUUUGGCAUCCAAUUGCAAGGCCAAUUUUUUUUUUUGGCAGGGUUGGGGGUGCGGAAAGAGGUAAGGGAAGGGGUGACCCAGCUCUUCUGGAUGGUAAGGUAAGAAAGGAUUGGGGGAGGAUGGAAGAUGAGGGAGAGAAACCCACUGAGCCAGGAAAACACCCCCUCCCUUUCCAAAAACUCUUUCCCCAGGCUCAACUCCCUCUCUCCCCACCCUGGAAGCACGUAAGUAAAGGAGGGGGGGCACUUCUUCCUCAACCCUCCAGGCCCCACUCAGGGGAAAGAGGCAGGAGAGCUGGAGGCCAAAAGAAACAAGUUGGCCUGGGGGUGGGGGAGGAAGGAGGAGAGUAAGAACAAAGACAAGGACCGGGCAAAAAAAGAGAGAGAGAGAAACCAACAUAUAUACAAAUAGCAGCAGACAAUUGGGGAGGAGCAGAAGCCAGGUCCCCAACUCCUCUGGGAGGAGCCAAUGAGAAAGAACCCCCACUGCCAGCUUCGGGGCUGAGGUCACCCCAAGGCAGAAGCUCUGGAAAUCUGUGUGAGGGAAAUAGGAUGCUAGGCCUAGGGCAGGAGAGAGCUGAGGGAGCCAUGUCCGAGGUAGGGGAGGCAAGCUGCAGCCCUGCUUCACAGGCAUGCGGACCGGUGCAGGGAGAAAGCCUCCCCUUCCCCUACCCCAUCCCAAUCCCCUGGCCCUGGCUCCACGCUCUCCUCCCACGCCAGCGUCCCUAGCCCAGGUCACGCGGCUUGGUUUAGCAGCUUGUUAAAAAGACACAAGAUACAUUCGUGAUGCUAUCGAUCGCCGCGGCGGGGGUGGGGGGGCAGAGUACAAAAUUACUACAGUGAAUGAACUUUUGGGAAAACAGCCCAGAAACGCCACCGCCUCUGCGCUGUCUGGGCUGAAGAGGGCGGAGAAAAUCUCUAGCUUGGCGUCGGGGGCAGGGGGUUGACAUGCCAGGAAAUGGGGCGGGGGAGAGGGCGGAGCUUUGUGGCCCAAGCAGAAUUACAGGUCGCUCAGAAAAUAAAACUCGAGUGGGGGCUUUCGGAAAAGAGCAAAGCCGACUUCCCCACUCCCACCCUCACUACCUCCUGUCCAGUCGUGCCUAAGCAUCUGCAGGCCCCAAUGGAAAGAGUGAAGUUUGGGGAACCGUCUUGGAUACGAGCAUCGGAGCUGAACCUCCUUGGAGCCCCCACGCACACACACAGCUGACGGUGCCAGGCAAGGGUAUGGGACGCGAAGUUUCCCCCCAACAGAAGGGCACCUGAAGUCCCCAAACCCACUCUACAAUCUCCAAACCUCAUCCCUCCUCUAUAAUAGCCCUUUAUUCUUCUGGACUACCAGAAGUCAGCAAAACUAAAGGACUCUAUGCCUUGGAAUGACCUUUGGCUACCCUGAACCCCACAGUGUGGCUACGUUCCUGGCACUGUGAUGGGUACCAACCCUCCUCCUUUCUGCAUUCCCCUCCCCAAAGCUCAGGUUGGUUGAAAGCCUAAAGGACACUGGAUCUUCUGUCUUAAGGUGGCCUGGGUAUUAGGGGGACAGUGAGCCUGUCAAACCCAUCCAGGAAGGUCAAGUUAAACCAUCCCACUGCCCAGCUCCAGGGCUGCAGAAGCUGGUGAGGUGGGAUGACAGGCUGGGAGAGGAAUAAAAAAAAGGAGGAAAUGGAGACUGUCACACUUAACUGAACCUGCCCCAUGGCUUGGGUGCAAAGGUAGAUAGCAAAGGUCUGGUACUUAAUUAACUAGUGUGGGUUCCCUGUUAGAACUGUGGAGAAAAGUCCUGGGAGGAUGUGAAGGGGGACAGACCCACUGGGGUGAGGGGUUAGUAAAAAAAAAAGUGAUGAAAUAUUAGCCAUUACUUUGAGGGAAACAAAGCCCCCUGACCUGUUCUUCUCUGGCUUAGCAAUCAGGGCUUUUGCAGAAGAAAUUUGUUCUUUCCCUUUAAUGAAAACUGAUUCUGCACACUCCUUGGACCUGUGUGACCACUCUACAAUGCCAGCAUUUCUAGCACACUGAGGCCUCUCACCAGCAAAAGGGUCACUGGCCCAGGUCCUGUCUUUUAGGUUGGACUGAAUCCUGUCAAAGGUGGAAAGAAAACAGGACUUUUCUCCAGGGUCUCCCCCCUACAUCCCUCCCCCACUCAUCCAGUCAAGAACCAUACAGGGGACACAACAUGAGAAGGAAACAACCCUGGAAGCUGGGUAGGAUACUGGCAAACGGCAGAGAGAUGAACUUCCCACCUCUCAUUCAGAUCAGCAUUAACCCCACCAUUAACCACCACCAAAGUCAUUUCCUUUGAUCAUCUCCAAAGUCAAUACAAUUGAUAGACCUCACUAUGGCUACCCAGCAUCUAAGGAUCCAUACAUCAGACUGGAUACCAGGUACUAGCCCUGGUUUUGGCCUAGAAUGGGGGUAGGAAGUAGCAGGAGAGAGGUUUCAGACCCCUAGAUCCCUCCAUGGCCUGCCUGGCAGGCAAUGGGUGAGGUCACCACACAUUUUCCCAGGCCCAAAUUGAAGUGAUUGGUAUAGGUAGGCCCAGUGACCCAGCCUGGGGUAGGACAGGCAAAGUAAGGAAUGGAGGGAGAUCAGGAGCCCUUAUGCAGUUGCAUGUAGAAAUCCCCUUAAGAGGGUAUAUAUAAAAGGGUAAUAAUUCACUAGGAAUAGUCCAGGAGUUCCAACUUCCACUCACUCAUUAGAUCAUUGGUUAAGUCACCUUUGUUCAUGUCUUCCGCUCAUUUGGAUUGGAUGAGUGGACCUGGUACUUGAAGGUGUUUGAAGGCCAGGGAAGGUUGGAGAUGUGAUUAUAAGGGAUAGCAACCAUCCUGCCCAUCUAACUCCUGCCCUGGGACCAAGAGCUGUUAAGACCUUUCUAAAGUAUCAGGAAGACCACAUAGUAUCUGUUAAAACUCACAUGGAGUCACAGAACACACUCACAUAAACCUCAAGCAUGCACCUGCUCACACACAUACAUGUCUUCAUACAUAAACAGACAUUUGGCAUUAGUAGCUUCGGAUGGUAGAAAGAGCCUUAGAUUUGGAGUGUGAAGACCUACAUUCAAAUCUUAGUUCUGUCACUGACUAUUUGUGUGACUUGGCAAGUCACUUAACCCCCUCUAUAGAGAUUUUCUUCUCUAUAUCAAAUAAGAGAGUUGAAUUAGAUGACAUCGAAAAUCUUCCUUCCACCUCUAAGAUCCUAUGAUCCACACGCUUUGUGUGGCCAAAAAGCUUGUGCUUCUCUUUAGAAGCCUGCCUGGUUUGAGUGUGUCAGGGAGAAGACAACUCCUUUGAGGAAGCCUGAAGGCUGGGCCCCUCCACUCUCCAAAAAGCCUGAGGCCCACACAUUUAAGAAAAUACAGAAUCAUGGGGUCAUUGGAUUUGUCGGGAGCUCAAAGGGCCACCUAAUUUAACUCUCAUUUUCAGAGGAGAGAAGUCUAGAGAGGGAAAGUCCCGAGGUCACAAGGAGAGUUGGUGGCCCAGCCAGGUGUCUUUUCCAGGACACCAAACUGCUCCCUCACAGAAAGACAGCUCAUCCAGAGGCCAAAGAAACAUCAACCUAGUGCCUUGGCCACUUAGCCAAGGAACUCAAAUUCAGAAUUCAGUGGGAUCUAGGUGUUUUAUUAAAUGCCAAAUCAGUUAUCCUGCCCUGGAAGCUAUCUCCAAAUACAAAAGUCUUUCACUUUGACCAGACUCCCACUAGGGUACAACUGCAUUCUGACCUCUGGCCUCUGCCUCUCCGUCCUGCAUCUUUCAGUCACUGUGGGAAGUGAGGGACCAAGACAAGGGGGUAAAAGUGGAAGAUUGUCCCCAGGGCAAUAGGAGAUGCAUACAUGCAGAUAAUGUGGCUGAAACCUCUAUUUAUCCUCUUUCAAUGAUGAAUCAACAGUGAAUGUCCUCACCUCCUGAUGGGGGAGGGAGAAAGGGGAGAGGCUGCUGGUCAGUUUUGGGAAGGAAGACAUAUCGCACACUAUUCCAUCCCUUGGGGAGACAGAAGAAGGGAAAAAGGGAAGAAAAAAGUUCUCUUUUCUAUAUAACCCUAGGCCCCCUACGUAUAAAUAAUCCAGUAAUGAUCAACAAAUGCUUAAUUAAUAAAUGAAAGACUAAAUAAAUAAACCAAUAAAUUAGGUAAGUCCCCAGUUAUUUAGCAUCCUCAGGAAAUGAGAUGCUCUGGUAAAUGCAACAAGUGCCCGUAAAAAGAUGGAAACCUGCUUUUUUCAAGCAAGCACACUGGAAUUCAUCCAAGCAAAGGCUGGGCUCAUUCCAUGUAGGGAAUUGCCUUCAGAGAACUGCUUAAAAAUCACACAAUCUUCUGCUCCUUACUGGGUAGUCACACCCCACUUUUGGUCACACAGGCCAGCCAUUCCCCAGCCUGACUGCCUACUUCACUCUGCAGAAUUGGCUCAGAAUGAUUUUUGACUAUUUACAGAAAAAUAAAUCCAUCUUCAAAGAAGUCAAGGGAUAUCACCCUGGAAGGGCCCCAGGCUCCAAAAGCAAUCCCUAAAGAGGAAUUCCAAUGUGUUUUGACCAAUGGACUACUCUGAAAGUUUGGGCACUGGAUUACACUAUGUGAGUUCUUGACUGACUGUUCAAAAAAAAAAAAGGCUUCCCUACCUUACCAUAAGGUAUUGUUGGAAUAAGGUUGCAGCUUCCCAAAGGGAAUACAGUAAGAUGCUAAAACUAUUCUGAAUGAAAUUUAAUCUUUGAUGAUUUAGAAACUAUUCAUGAUUUUUGUGGAGAUAACAUCAUUGAUCACUGAACUACAACUAUAUGAAAGGACAGGUUAAUGGAGAAUUCUAGUUAAUAGAAUGUCCUCUAACAAUGCUGACUUCUUUCACACUGACAGUAACCAAAGUGACCUAAUUCCAAUUAGCCCAGGCCUUUGGAAUCCUCAGUCAAAGCAAUCUUAAGGGAGAAUUCUGGGGGAAUGGAGGGAAGGGCAGGUACUUUUAUUACAGGUCUCACAGACAAGUGGAGGAGCCUUCAAGGUGGUUAGAGACAAGGGGCUAAGAGGAAUGGAAGAAGGUUAGGGGACUGAAAGGGAGGGUUCAUGGAAUUAAGGUAUAUUCAAUAUUCUCUUGAACAGAGAGCAAAGAGUGAGAUAGAAGGCGGGAGGUAAGCAAAAUUUUAAAAUAGGUGUAGGUGAUGGAAAGUACUUUGAGAGUCUACUGGGAAUUUAGCGCAGGGGUUUGCCAGAAUUGAGAGAAGGAGUGGAUCGUUGAGAUGAAGGACAGAGUGGGUUAAGGGCUAUAGAAUAUCCCUAUCCUCCACUUUUAUCCUAGGGAGGGAUGGCUUUUUGGAUUUGAUAAUCUACCUGCCUCUGUUUUGUGCUUUUGUUUCCUGGAGGCUCUUUGCCUGCCACAUCCUGGGAAGGGAACACAGAAGAAAUUAUCCAUUACCUUCCACAGAAAGCAUUUGGAAGUUUUGAGGGCAGCAGAGUCAGGGCCUGGGAGUGGAGUUACAGAUCUGGUAGGGGGCAGAGAACCCAAGACCUAAAACUGCUUGAGGGAACGGGACUGCCAGUGGAGAAUGCUUUUUUUUUUAGAAGCUCCUUUGCUGGAAUAAAGUUUAGUGGGAAGUGGAGAGAAUGCAGAGAAAUGGAUAUAUGAUGUCUAAAAUCCUUUCCAGCACCAAUACACUAAUUCUAAGAUUCUAGACAAAGAAACUCAAAGAAACCAAAUCUGAGACCCCUGGCUCUCUCCUGGGUUUGGAAAGGGACUUCUGAAGAGGAUGGAAGGGCAAGAGAAAAAUCUCUACUUCACACAACCCCAGGCUUGUCCACUGAACUGGAAGAGAAUGAAAGUCAAUUCACUGAAAUGGAACCAUUACAGGAUUAUUACUUUAGAGCUGGAAAAGACUUUAGAGGUCAUUGAACCUAACCUCCCAAUUUGUCAGAUGAGGUAACUGAGUGCAAGGGAAAUUAAGGGAAAUCAGGAUCAGUCACCAAAAAAUACAAAUGGAGAGUGACCUGGUCCUAAAGGCUCCCCACCACCAAGGGACCAAUGACCCUAUAUCAGGCUCUGUACCAGGGAAAAGUUCUCUGUUCCUUGGAGUCCUAGAAAAUAGAAUAUCAAAACUUUGAAAGACUUCAGUCUUUUUCUUCCAGCCCCCUCAUUUUUUUUUUCAUUUACAGAUUCCCCUUGGGACCACCAUUCCCAGCUAGAAACCGAUGGUAAGGUGAGGAGGCAGGAGAUGAGCCAAUAAGGGAGGGGGAGGGGAUAGGGUUGAGGAAUUGAUAGUAUGGAGGUAAUUACUCAGUAAUAAAGGGAUAUCUCCCCCUCCCCAACAUGCUAGGGCAAGCAUCAGUACACACACACACACACACACACACACACACACACACACACACACACACACACACACACACCCAGCAUCAGCUUCUCUGCAAUAAACAUGUUUGCCACUGGAAAAACCCUCUCAAGGGAGCCCCAGCCUCAAACUCCUGUCCUCUCUUACACUCAGAUGUACUGCCCUUUCUUUUUUCCUGAGGGUGGAGAUGCUGGAUGUCACUGGCAAGUAUGAAGUGGGGAGGCACCUUUGCUGGGAUCCCAAGGAACCCCAGUAUUUCCAAGGAGUACCUGAAAGGAGAGGCCGAGGGUUGGGAGGUGAUUGGAAGACACAGUGACCUAGGAUGAUGACACAAGACAGGGAGCUAGGUCCUAGGGACCGUUCCAUUCAAACAUCCCCCAGCCUUGAAAUACCAUGGGGAGCAAUGGGGAAGUCCUCACUCCCAACUGUUCCAACCUGGGACAGUGGCACAUAUCCUCACCCACACACUGCCUCCUAGACACUGGCUGUGAUACAGCUGCCUGUUCUGAGGGAGGAAUUUUGGCUGGUCAGAUACAGGGUAGCAGCAACACACGAUUAGGUCACGUCCCUGUCUUGCCUUCCACCUAGCCAAGUGGGGAAGAGGAUAAGUCACAAAGCAGCAACGGAGGCUGGAGGUCACAUAUUAAACGGCGCAGAGAAAAACCUCACCCUAGACUGACCCUGAGGUCUGGGACGUCCCAUCUCCCUGACACCUUCGUUUCCACUGAACUCUGGACAAUCAGUCAUUUGCAUCCGAGGGACUUGGGAGCAGGGCCUUCCACCCUAAUACGAGCUCGCUUACUACACCAAUCACUGCCACCACUGAUUCCCGCUCCUCACCCCCACCUCCUGUCGGUACUGGACAAAGGACUUGGCUCUACGCUUUUGGACAGCCUGGAAUAUCCACCCCACCUCUACUGAUCCAAACACUUCCCAUAAACCUCACAGAAUGUGAGUGAUCUCUCCGUUACAGCCCGACAGCUAUUGCUGCAUGGUUCUUUUGGUAUUAACAAAUGCUGAUGCUCUGCGAAAUCUACACUCUUUUGGUUGAAUUGUUCUUUAAACUUUUUGCUGUUAAACCCUU